rnacentral:rRNA from 3 species
UGGGGAAUAUUGCACAAUGGAGGGAACUCUGAUGCAGCGACGCCGCGUGAACGAAGAAGGCUUUCGAGUCGUAAAGUUCUUUUAUAUAGGAAGAUAAUGACGGUACCAUAAGAAAAAGCCCCGGCUAACUACGUGCCAGCAGCCGCGGUAAUACGUAGGGGGCUAGCGUUGUCCGGAAUCACUGGGCGUAAAGGGUUCGCAGGCGGAAAUGCAAGUCAGGUGUAAAAGGCAGUAGCUUAACUACUGUAAGCAUUUGAAACUGCAUAUCUUGAGAAGAGUAGAGGUAAGUGGAAUUUUUAGUGUAGCGGUGAAAUGCGUAGAUAUUAAAAAGAAUACCGGUGGCGAAGGCGACUUACUGGGCUCAUUCUGACGCUGAGGAACGAAAGCGUGGGUAGCAAACAGG